rnacentral:rRNA from 1 species
UGUGAGCUCGAUGAGUAGGGCGGGACACGUGGUAUCCUGUCUGAAUAUGGGGGGACCAUCCUCCAAGGCUAAAUACUCCUGACUGACCGAUAGUGAACCAGUACCGUGAGGGAAAGGCGAAAAGAACCCCGGCGAGGGGAGUGAAAAAGAACCUGAAACCGUGUACGUACAAGCAGUGGGAGCACGCUUAGGCGUGUGACUGCGUACCUUUUGUAUAAUGGGUCAGCGACUUAUAUUCUGUAGCAAGGUUAACCGAAUAGGGGAGCCGAAGGGAAACCGAGUCUUAACUGGGCGUUAAGUUGCAGGGUAUAGACCCGAAACCCGGUGAUCUAGCCAUGGGCAGGUUGAAGGUUGGGUAACACUAACUGGAGGACCGAACCGACUAAUGUUGAAAAAUUAGCGGAUGACUUGUGGCUGGGGGUGAAAGGCCAAUCAAACCGGGAGAUAGCUGGUUCUCCCCGAAAGCUAUUUAGGUAGCGCCUCGUGAAUUCAUCUCCGGGGGUAGAGCACUGUUUCGGCAAGGGGGUCAUCCCGACUUACCAACCCGAUGCAAACUGCGAAUACCGGAGAAUGUUAUCACGGGAGACACACGGCGGGUGCUAACGUCCGUCGUGAAGAGGGAAACAACCCAGACCGCCAGCUAAGGUCCCAAAGUCAUGGUUAAGUGGGAAACGAUGUGGGAAGGCCCAGACAGCCAGGAUGUUGGCUUAGAAGCAGCCAUCAUUUAAAGAAAGCGUAAUAGCUCACUGGUCGAGUCGGCCUGCGCGGAAGAUGUAACGGGGCUAAACCAUGCACCGAAGCUGCGGCAGCGACGCUUAUGCGUUGUUGGGUAGGGGAGCGUUCUGUAAGCCUGCGAAGGUGUGCUGUGAGGCAUGCUGGAGGUAUCAGAAGUGCGAAUGCUGACAUAAGUAACGAUAAAGCGGGUGAAAAGCCCGCUCGCCGGAAGACCAAGGGUUCCUGUCCAACGUUAAUCGGGGCAGGGUGAGUCGACCCCUAAGGCGAGGCCGAAAGGCGUAGUCGAUGGGAAACAGGUUAAUAUUCCUGUACUUGGUGUUACUGCGAAGGGGGGACGGAGAAGGCUAUGUUGGCCGGGCGACGGUUGUCCCGGUUUAAGCGUGUAGGCUGGUUUUCCAGGCAAAUCCGGAAAAUCAAGGCUGAGGCGUGAUGACGAGGCACUACGGUGCUGAAGCAACAAAUGCCCUGCUUCCAGGAAAAGCCUCUAAGCAUCAGGUAACAUCAAAUCGUACCCCAAACCGACACAGGUGGUCAGGUAGAGAAUACCAAGGCGCUUGAGAGAACUCGGGUGAAGGAACUAGGCAAAAUGGUGCCGUAACUUCGGGAGAAGGCACGCUGAUAUGUAGGUGAAGUCCCUCGCGGAUGGAGCUGAAAUCAGUCGAAGAUACCAGCUGGCUGCAACUGUUUAUUAAAAACACAGCACUGUGCAAACACGAAAGUGGACGUAUACGGUGUGACGCCUGCCCGGUGCCGGAAGGUUAAUUGAUGGGGUUAGCCGCAAGGCGAAGCUCUUGAUCGAAGCCCCGGUAAACGGCGGCCGUAACUAUAACGGUCCUAAGGUAGCGAAAUUCCUUGUCGGGUAAGUUCCGACCUGCACGAAUGGCGUAAUGAUGGCCAGGCUGUCUCCACCCGAGACUCAGUGAAAUUGAACUCGCUGUGAAGAUGCAGUGUACCCGCGGCAAGACGGAAAGACCCCGUGAACCUUUACUAUAGCUUGACACUGAACAUUGAGCCUUGAUGUGUAGGAUAGGUGGGAGGCUUGGAAGUGUGGACGCCAGUCUGCAUGGAGCCGACCUUGAAAUACCACCCUUUAAUGUUUGAUGUUCUAACGUUGACCCGUAAUCCGGGUUGCGGACAGUGUCUGGUGGGUAGUUUGACUGGGGCGGUCUCCUCCUAAAGAGUAACGGAGGAGCACGAAGGUUGGCUAAUCCUGGUCGGACAUCAGGAGGUUAGUGCAAUGGCAUAAGCCAGCUUGACUGCGAGCGUGACGGCGCGAGCAGGUGCGAAAGCAGGUCAUAGUGAUCCGGUGGUUCUGAAUGGAAGGGCCAUCGCUCAACGGAUAAAAGGUACUCCGGGGAUAACAGGCUGAUACCGCCCAAGAGUUCAUAUCGACGGCGGUGUUUGGCACCUCGAUGUCGGCUCAUCACAUCCUGGGGCUGAAGUAGGUCCCAAGGGUAUGGCUGUUCGCCAUUUAAAGUGGUACGCGAGCUGGGUUUAGAACGUCGUGAGACAGUUCGGUCCCUAUCUGCCGUGGGCGCUGGAGAACUGAGGGGGGCUGCUCCUAGUACGAGAGGACCGGAGUGGACGCAUCACUGGUGUUCGGGUUGUCAUGCCAAUGGCACUGCCCGGUAGCUAAAUGCGGAAGAGAUAAGUGCUGAAAGCAUCUAAGCACGAAACUUGCCCCGAGAUGAGUUCUCCCUGACUCCUUGA